UGGACUCAGAAUUUACAAGACU
rnacentral:miRNA from 1 species